rnacentral:tRNA from 1 species
GUCAGGAUGGCCGAGCGGUCUAAGGCGCUGCGUUCAGGUCGCAGUCCACUUCUGCGUGGUUCGAAUCCACUUCUGCAGAUU